GAUGAACGCUGGCGGCGUGCCUAAUACAUGCAAGUCGAGCGAACGGCCGAGAAGCUUGCUUCUCUGAUGUUAGCGGCGGACGGGUGAGUAACACGUGGAUAACCUACCUAUAAGACUGGGAUAACUUCGGGAAACCGUAGCUAAUACCGGAUAAUAUUUUGAACCGCAUGGUUCAAAAGUGAAAGACGGUCUUGCUGUCACUUAUAGAUGGAUCCGCGCUGCAUUAGCUAGUUGGUAAGGUAACGGCUUACCAAGGCAACGAUGCAUAGCCGACCUGAGAGAGGGAACGACCACACAAGAACUGAGACGCGGUCCAGACUCCGACGGAUGGCAGCAGUAGGGUAUCUUCCGCUAUGUGCUGAAGCCUAACGGAGCAACACCGCGUGAGUGAUGAAGGUCUUCGGAUCGUAAAACUCUGAUAUUAUGGAAGAACAUAUGUGUACGUAACUGUGCACAUCAUGACGGUACCUAAUCAGAAAGCCACGGCUAGCUACGUG
rnacentral:rRNA from 1 species